rnacentral:rRNA from 1 species
UACGUAGGUGGCGAGCGUUGUCCGGAUUUACUGGGCGUAAAGGGAGCGUAGGCGGAUUUUUAAGUCUGAUGUGAAAGCCUUCGGCUUAACCGGAGUAGUGCAUUGGAAACUGGGAGACUUGAGUGCAGAAGAGGAGAGUGGAACUCCAUGUGUAGCGGUGAAAUGCGUAGAUAUAUGGAAGAACACCAGUGGCGAAAGCGGCUCUCUGGUCUGUAACUGACGCUGAGGUUCGAAAGCGUGGGUAGCAAACAGG